AGGUAUCAGUCAACAAUUGCUGAGUGGGCCAAGUUGAUCAAUGUCCCUGCUGAAGAUGAGAAUAUAUGUGUAUGCCAAGCCCAGGAAGGACCAUCCAUGGCACAUAUGUACCAGGAGAUUCCUGAUAAGGCUUUGGAGACUCACAAGUUUGGAUCUAUCUAUUAUCCUCUCUCUGGCUUGACCACCAUCAACACUAUUUUGAGGCACACCUUGUUGCCCAAGUCAGGAGAUCAUAGGAUGAUCCGUGGCCACUCCAUCAACUUGCUUCACUUGUUUGAUGUGCCACAAAAGUUCAAGGUGAUGAGUCUCAUUGGUGAAAUAGUGAAGAGAACUGCAGCUGAUCAGAAGAGAUCAUGUGGAUAUGCCCCUCACAUUCAGAUGCUUAUCAACUCCAAGAUGGGGAAAGGGACAUAUCUUCUUGACAAAGAGCAUCUUCCCUUGAGGCCAGAAUUUGAGGACAAUGAAGUUGUCAUGGAUGCA
rnacentral:rRNA from 1 species